rnacentral:rRNA from 1 species
AUUGAACGCUGGCGGCAGGCCUAACACAUGCAAGUCGAGCGAGCGGCGGACGGGUGAGUAAUGUAUGGGAAUCUGCCUGAUGGCGGGGGAUAACUACUGGAAACGGUAGCUAAUACCGCAUACCAUCAGAUGUACCCAGAUGGGAUUAGCUUGUGGGUGAGGUAACGGCUUACCUAGGCGACGAUCCCUAGCUGGUCUGAGAGGAGGACCAGCCACACUGGGAUUGAGACACGGCCCAGAUCCUUAAGGGAGGCAGCAGUGGGGAAUAUUGCAAAAUGGGCGCAAGCCUGAUGCAGCCAUGCCGCGUGUAUGAAGAAGGCCUUCGGGUUGUAAAGUACUUUCAGUGGGGAGGCGUUACCGACAGAAGAAGCACCGGCUAACUCCGUGCCAGCAGCCGCGGUAAUAC